AUUACCGAGUUUACAACUCCCAAACCCCUGUGAACAUACCUAUUGUUGCUUCGGCGGGAUCGCCCCGGUGCCUCUGUGCUCGGAUUGAGGCGCCCGCCGGAGGCCCCAAACUCUUGUUUUUUAGUGAUAUCUUCUGAGUCUCACAAACAAAUAAAUUAAAACUUUCAACAACGGAUCUCUUGGUUCUGGCAUCGAUGAAGAACGCAGCGAAAUGCGAUAAGUAAUGUGAAUUGCAGAAUUCAGUGAAUCAUCGAAUCUUUGAACGCACAUUGCGCCCGCUAGUACUCUAGCGGGCAUGCCUGUUCGAGCGUCAUUUCAACCCUCAAGCCCCCGGGCUUGGUGUUGGGGAUCGGCCGCCGCUAAACCCGGUGGCCGUCCCCUAAUUCUAGUGGCGGUCUCGCUGUAGCCUCCUCUGCGUAGUAGCACACCUCGCACUGGAACGCGGCGCGGCCACGCCGUAAAACCCCAACUUCUGAAUGUUGACCUCGGAUCAGGUAGGAAUACCCGCUGAACUUAAGCAUAUCAAUAAGCGGAGGAAAAGAAACCAACAGGGAUUGCCCCAGUAACGGCGAGUGAAGCGGCAACAGCUCAAAUUU
rnacentral:rRNA from 1 species